rnacentral:rRNA from 1 species
UAGAGUUUGAUCCUGGCUCCAGGACGAACGCUGCCGGCGUGCUUAACACAAGCAAUUCGAGCGGAGGUACUUAGCGGAAGUUUUUGGGAGGAAGCUAAAUACUUUGCGGCGGACGGGUGAGUAACGCGUGAGCAACCUGCCUUUCACAGGGGGAUAACGCACCGAAAGGUGCACUAAUACCGCAUGAGACCACAGUAUCACGUGGUAUAGGGGUCAAAGGAGCAAUCCGGUGAAAGAUGGGCUCGCGUCCGAUUAGAUAGUUGGUGGGGUAAUGGCCCACCAAGUCAACGAUCGGUAGCCGACCUGAGAGGGUGACCGGCCACACUGGAACUGAGAACGGUCCAGACUCCUACGGGAGGCAGCAGUGGGGAAUAUUGGGCAAUGGGGGAGACCCUGACCCAGCAACGCCGCGUGAGGGAAGAAGGUUUUCGGAUUGUAAACCUCUGUCCUUGGUGAAGAGCAGAAGACGGUAGCCAAGGAGGAAGCCCCGGCUAACUACGUGCCAGCAGCCGCGGUAAUACGUAGGGGGCGAGCGUUGUCCGGAAUGAUUGGGCGUAAAGGGCGCGUAGGCGGCUUUACAAGUCUGGAGUGAAAGUCCUAUUUUCAAGGUAGGAAUUGCUUUGGAAACUGUAGAGCUUGAGUGCAGGAGAGGUUAUCGGAAUUCCCGGUGUAGCGGUGAAAUGCGUAGAGAUCGGGAGGAACACCAGUGGCGAAGGCGGGUAACUGGACUGCAACUGACGCUGAGGCGCGAAAGUGUGGGGAGCAAACAGGAUUAGAUACCCUGGUAGUCCACACUGUAAACGAUGAAUGCUAGGUGUAGGAGGUAUCGACCCCUUCUGUGCCGUAGUCAACACACUAAGCAUCC